rnacentral:rRNA from 1 species
UACGGAGGAUGCAAGCGUUAUCCGGAAUGAUUGGGCGUAAAGCGUCCGCAGGUGGCUAUGUAAGUCUGCUGUUAAAGAGUGAGGCUCAACCUCAUAAGAGCAGUGGAAACUACAUGGCUAGAGUGCGUUCGGGGCAGAGGGAAUUCCUGGUGUAGCGGUGAAAUGCGUAGAGAUCAGGAAGAACACCGGUGGCGAAAGCGCUCUGCUAGGCCGCAACUGACACUCAUGGACGAAAGCUAGGGGAGCGAAUGGA